UGCCCAGCAACUCCUAUCCCUACCUCCACGCGGUACCGGACGGGAGCUAUGAGCAACCUUAGGGAAGAUCGGGUAACCAACCCCGGUGGGAACUUUGGUCGUAGGCUUACAGGGAAGG
rfam:Aedes albopictus isolate Foshan contig108085, whole genome shotgun sequence.